UGGGGAAUUUUGCGCAAUGGGCGAAAGCCUGACGCAGCGACGCCGCGUGGGGGAAGAAGGCCUUCGGGUUGUAAACUCCUUUAGUAUGGGAAGAAGCCUCGAGUAAUCGGGGUGACGGUACCAUAAGAAUAAGCCACGGCUAACUCUGUGCCAGCAGCCGCGGUAAGACAGAGGUGGCAAGCGUUGUUCGGAUUUACUGGGCUUAAAGGGCGUGUAGGCGUCCUGAUAAGUCAGAUGUGGAAGCCUUGGGCUUAACCCAAGAAUUGCAUUUGAAACUGUCAGGAUUGAGUCGUGCAUGGGAGGGCGGAAUUCCUGGUGUAGCGGUGAAAUGCGUAGAUAUCAGGAGGAAGGCCGGUGGCGAAGGUGGCCCUCUGGGCGAUGACUGACGCUGAGGCGCGAA
rnacentral:rRNA from 1 species